rnacentral:rRNA from 1 species
GCAAGCGUUGUCCGGAAUUAUUGGGCGUAAAGAGCUCGUAGGCGGUCUGUUACGUCCGCUGUGAAAACCCAGGGCUUAACCCUGGGCUUGCAGUGGAUACGGGUAGACUAGAGGCAGGUAGGGGAGAAUGGAAUUCCCGGUGUAGCGGUGAAAUGCGCAGAUAUCGGGAGGAACACCGGUGGCGAAGGCGGUUCUCUGGGCAGUAACUGACGCUGAGGAGCGAAAGCGUGGGGAGCGAACAGG